rnacentral:rRNA from 1 species
UAAAAGUCGUAACAAGGUUUCCGUAGGUGAACCUGCGGAAGGAUCAUUAUCGAGUUUUGACUGGGUUGUAGCUGGCCUUCCGAGGCAUGUGCACGCCCUGCUCAUCCACUCUACACCUGUGCACUUACUGUGGGCUUCAGAUCGUAAAACGGGUCCCUUUACCGGGCUUGCGGAGCGUGUCUGUGCCUGCGUUUAUCACAAACUCUAUAAAGUAUCAGAAUGUGUAUUGCGAUGUAACGCAUCUAUAUACAACUUUCAGCAACGGAUCUCUUGGCUCUCGCAUCGAUGAAGAACGCAGCGAAAUGCGAUAAGUAAUGUGAAUUGCAGAAUUCAGUGAAUCAUCGAAUCUUUGAACGCACCUUGCGCUCCUUGGUAUUCCGAGGAGCAUGCCUGUUUGAGUGUCAUGAAAUCUUCAACCUGCAAGCUUUUGUGGUUUGUAGGCUUGGACUUGGAGGCUUGUCGGCCGUUCUCGGUCGGCUCCUCUUAAAUGCAUUAGCUUGGUUCCUUGCGGAUCGGCUCUCAGUGUGAUAAUGUCUACGCUGCGACCGUGAAGCGUUUGGCGAGCUUCUAACCGUCUCAGUUGGAGACAACUUUAUGACCUCUGACCUCAAAUCAGGUAGGACUACCCGCUGAACUUAAGCAU